rnacentral:rRNA from 1 species
GUGGUAAUUCUAGAGCUAAUACAUGCUAAAAACCUCGACUUCGGAAGGGGUGUAUUUAUUAGAUAAAAAACCAAUGCCCUUCGGGGCUCCUUGGUGAAUCAUAAUAACUUAACGAAUCGCAUGGCCUUGCGCCGGCGAUGGUUCAUUCAAAUUUCUGCCCUAUCAACUUUCGAUGGUAAGAUAGAGGCUUACCAUGGUCUUAACGGGUAACGGGGAAUUAGGGUUCUAUUCCGGAGAGGGAGCCUGAGAAACGGCUACCACAUCCAAGGAAGGCAGCAGGCGCGCAAAUUACCCAAUCCCGACACGGGGAGGUAGUGACAAUAAAUACUGAUACGGGGCUCUUUUGGGUCUCGUAAUUGGAAUGAGUACAAUCUAAAUCCCUUAACGAGGAACAAUUGGAGGGCAAGUCUGGUGCCAGCAGCCGCGGUAAUUCCAGCUCCAAUAGCGUAUAUUAAAGUUGUUGCCGUUAAAAAGCUCGUAGUUGAACCUUGGGCCUGGCUGACCUGUCCUCCUAAUCGAGCGCACGGGUUCGGUCGGGCCUUUCCUUCUAGGGAACCCCAUGCCCUUCACUGGGUGUGGUGGGGAACUAGGACUUUUACCUUGAAAAAAUUAGAGUGUUCAAAGCAGGCCUUUGCUCGAAUACAUUAGCAUGGA